UACCAGCUCUUCGAGUGGUGUGGAUGUUUAUUGGGCCUAAAGCAUCCGUAGCUGGCUGGGCAAGUCCCCUGUUAAAUCCACCGAUUUAAUCGUUGGAGUGCGGGGGAUACUGUUCGGCUAGGGGACGGGAGAGGCAGACGGUAUUUUCGGGGUAGGGGUGAAAUCCUAUAAUCCCGGGAAGACCACCAGUGGCGAAGGCUGUCUGCUAGAACGCGCCCGACGGUGAGGGAUGAAAGCUGGGGGAGCGAACCGGAUUAGAUACCCGGGUAGUCCCAGCUGUAAACGAUGCAGGCUAGGUGUUUGGGCGGCCACGUGCCGCUCUAGUGCCGCAGGGAAGCCGUUAAGCCUGCCGCCUGGGGAGUACGGCCGCAAGGCUGAAACUUAAAGGAAUUGGCGGGGAGCACCUCAAGAGGUGAAGCUUGCGGUUU
rnacentral:rRNA from 1 species